rnacentral:rRNA from 1 species
AUUUACAGCCAUAUCACCCUGCAGCCCAAGACCGGUUACUCACUGAAGCUAAGCAGGGCUGAGCCUGGUUAGUACCUGGAUGGGAGACCACAAGGGAACACUAGGUUGCUGUUGGAA